UACGUACCGUCCAAACGUUAUUCGGAAUCACUGGGCUUAAAGAGUUCGUAGGCGGCACAGAAAGUUGGGUGUGAAAUCCCCCGGCCCAACCGGGGAACUGCGUUCAAAACUACUGUGCUUGAGGGAGAUAGAGGUGAGCGGAACUGAUGGUGGAGCGGUGAAAUGCGUUGAUAUCAUCAGGAACACCGGAGGCGAAGGCGGCUCACUGGGUCUUACCUGACGCUGAGGAACGAAAGCUAGGGGAGCGAAC
rnacentral:rRNA from 1 species